UACGUAGGUGGCAAGCGUUGUCCGGAAUUAUUGGGCGUAAAGCGCGCGCAGGCGGUCCUUUAAGUCUGAUGUGAAAGCCCACGGCUCAACCGUGGAGGGUCAUUGGAAACUGGGGGACUUGAGUGCAGAAGAGGAAAGCGGAAUUCCACGUGUAGCGGUGAAAUGCGUAGAGAUGUGGAGGAACACCAGUGGCGAAGGCGGCUCACUGGCCCGAUACUGACGCUGAGGUGCGAAAGCGUGGGGAGCAAACAGG
rnacentral:rRNA from 1 species